rnacentral:rRNA from 1 species
GCUUAGCCCUAAACAUAGGCAAUAGAAACACAAUAUUGUCCGCCAGAGAACUACAAGUGAAAAACUAGAAACUCCAAGGACUUGGCGGUGCCCCACACCAACCUAGAGGAGCCUGUCCUAUAAUCGAUAAUCCACGUUAUACCUCACCAUUUCUAGUCAGUCCAGCCUAUAUACCGCCGUCGAAAGCCUACCUUAUGAAAGAAAGAAAGUAAGCAAAAUAGUCAGAAACUAAAACGUCAGGUCAAGGUGUAGCAUAUGAAAUGGAAGAGAUGGGCUACAUUUUCUAUACCAGAAUAAACGGACAGCAAAAUGAAACCAAUGCUCGAAGGCGGAUUUAGCAGUAAAGCAAAAAAGAAAGUUUGCCUAAAGCCCGCUCUGGGGCGCGCACACACCGCCCGUCA